rnacentral:rRNA from 1 species
GACGAACGCUGGCGGCGUGCCUAAUACAUGCAAGUUGAGCGCUGAAGGCUGGUACUUGUACCAACUGGGUGUGCAGCGCACGGGUGAGUAACGCGUGUGGAAUCUGCCUUUGAGCGGGGGACAACAUUUGGAAACGAAUGCUAAUACCGCAUAAAAACUUUAAACACAAGUUUUAAGUUUGAAAGAUGCAAUUGCAUCACUCAAAGAUGAUCCCUCGUUGUAUUAGCUAGUUGGUGAGGUACAGGCUCACCAAGGCGAUGAUACAUAGCCGACCUGAGAGGGUGGUCAGCCACAUUGAGAGUGAGACACGGCACAAACGGCUACAGGAGGCAGCAGUAGGGAAUCGUCAGCCAUAGGCGGAAGUCUGACCGAGCAAGGCCGCGGGAGUGAAGAAGGUUUUCGGGUCGGAAAACUCUGUUGGUAGGGAAGAACGUUGGUGAGAGUGGAAAGCACAGCAAGUGACGGUAACUACUCAGAAAGGAACGGCUAACUACGUG